CUCUCAUUUGCGCUCGCUGCAUUUCUCCCAUUUGCGCCCGCUUUCAUUCGUAACCUCGUACGUCUUCUUCUUCGUCCGACGACCUACGACUAACGCUCCACCACGGACGGCUGCGCCGACAACUUCUUGCUCUACCACCCAAGCUCCAUACCUUCCCGCUCCGCCACGGAAACCUUAUCCAAAACUAGAACACGCAAACCUUCUAAAAAAUGCCAAUACUCUUAGAACACGCAGCAGCACCAACAAUCAGCCUUCGAACCGACCUCUCAGAUCAACUCCUCUUCCCCUCAGUUUCGUGCCAGAGUGCUUCACAAUGGAUGAGAAGAGAUUGAGGGCUGUCAUAGAGGCUUUUAUAGGUAUGUGUGACUUAUUUAUAGGUAUAUAUGUGUGAAGUUAGGUGAUUUUGAAUUUUGAAGGUAAUUAGUAACUACAAGUACUUAAUGGCUACAUUUGUAAGCUAUGAGCUCAGAUGCCUUAGGAAGUUAUGAGUGAGUCUUAGUUGUCACCUUUGAUAUUUAUAUCCUAUAAAGUUUGUUGAUUCCAUAUUUGGUUAAUAAUUUUGAAGGAUUAUGGUUGAUGUUUGCAUGAACUUCUUAUCAAGGAAAGAAGAAAAAGAAAUGGUUACUGAAAAGUUUGACAGUCUAGUGUCAUUAGAGAUUAUUUUAGUUACUGGAAAGGAUGUUGUAAAAAACUUGCUCUGAUGUCAAGAAUCGUUAUUACGAAAGAAAAAAAUGUUUGGAGGGGUUCCUCUACUCCAGCCUUAAUUA